ensembl:lncRNA
CCUGGGCUCACUUCCAAAUGUGAAACUGUGGGAUUCCUGCACUCCUACAUAUGAGACCCAGACUGAACUCAAAGGACUGACCAGUUUACCUCCCCAACCAGACUACUUUCUUCAUAGUGCACAAUUGAAAUUGGAGUACACUCGGGUUUCCUUACUUUGAAAAAGCUCAGAAGGAGCAUUUACAUCUCCUAGUGAAAGACUGCAGAAUGGAGCUGAAAUUAAGUUAUUAGAGUUCACGAUUUGUCUUGGCCCAGAGCCUAAUCCAGUUUAUAAUCCAAGAUCUAUGUUGGAGUCUCUGCAUCAGGAGUUAGAGACUUGGCUGUCUCUCAGUGGACCUUCUUUAAACUCCUCGCAGGAUGUAUGUGCCAUGUCCCGCUUCACUGCCUGCUAUGCAGCCUUGCAAAAGAAGGCUACCUCUACCACAUAUCCCAAUCUUGCCAUCAUCCAACACCUGAACCAACAUGAGACAUUGUGCAGUAUGAAGGGGUCUCUGUACUAAGCUGAAUCUACAGCUGUAUAUACUAAAUAUUUGGCACUGCCAGAUCUUAAUCAGGUUUCCAUGGAAAUAAAUCAGAGGCAUUGCUUUGGGAGCAACCUACAUGGAUCUACACGUCUUGCUGCUGCAAUUCAUAAACAGAAUAUUGACAAAUUCCUCAGAUUAUAAUUAUAACGAUCUGAAAAAUCAAAUGGCAAGAGUUUGAGAUGGGACUAGUUCACAUGUUGGAGUUGAAGUCAAAGAAGUCUGGACAAAUGGUGCUGAGUCAUGUAUAUAAUAAUUUCUUCAACAACUGCUUCCCAUAUUUGCAUGUUCAACUUUGCUAGGGAAUCGUUUCUCAGUAUAUUUCAUGGACUCAGAUGUCAGAUCAAGGGAGAAACAUUCACUACAACCAGAGGUUACAGAGCUUAACAGACCUACAAAUUAACUUCAAGCUGUCAUUUGGUCUUAGAUAUGGUGAGCUUAAGCUUAUGGUCUUUUUUAAUUUAGAAAGACUAACAGGGAAAAAUGACAUGCAGAGUGACAGUCUUACAGAACUCUAGGAAUGGAUAUUUUAUAUGUUGAAACUAUGUCUGUACCAUUUUGAAUAAAGGCAAUUAUAUUCAUAUCUGGCUGAAAAUUAACCUGUAAUCUGUUAGGAUGUGAUGUGUAUAUUGAACAACUGCUAGGGGCAAAGAUCUGAAGUUUUUGUUGUUUGCAGAGAUCAUAUCUAGCUCUUCUGUGCCUCUAAUUCUAAACUUCUUGCACCUUGAGUACUGCAUUCAGUUUUGGGCCCCUAACUACAAGAAAGACAUUGAGGCCUAAGGAAUCUGGAGCACAAAUCUUAUGGAGAGCAGCUGAGGGAACUGGGGUUGUAUAGUCUGGAGAAGAGGAGGUUCAGGGGAGACCUUAUCGCUCUCUACAUCUACCUGAAGGGAGAUUGUGACAAGAUUCUAGGUAUUGAUAUUAGUCUCACUGGGUGUCAUGAAAUCACGAAUCUUUCUUUCUGGACGUAUGCAUCAGUUUUGAAGCAUCAAACACCUUGUGAAUUUCUUACAUAUCUGGGCUUUGGAAGCCUGAUGUUGUACAGGGUAAAUAUUUAAAUCUUUAAGGUGGAUACUGAUGUGAGUGGAGAAUACAAACAUAACAACUAUGCAUUGCAAUAAAUGAUAAAGUGAGAUUGUUGAGUUUUAGCAGUGCAAGAAUUACAUGACAUUAGCAGUAUCCAAUAGGUCUUGGAUGGAGAAAUCUUAGUAAAGGCUUUCUGUUCAGACAUGGUUUUAUAAGUAACAUACGUUAUUCAGGUGUGGAUAUAUGAUGAGAUUUUUUAGACUGUUGCAUUAUUCCAAUAUUAACUUUAGCAUAUACCUUUGAUAGUGAUAACUCCCAAUUUAUGCAGUGACUAUGGUUAUGAUCAACUGAGUAACCCAUGAAAAGAAUUCCACAUGAUGAUUUAAAAAUAGUCAAAUAUUCUAAUUUACAGCAUAAUUAUGUGAAAAAAUAUAUAAAUACAAUUUUAUAUUACUUAAGAAAAUAGUUUUUAUUCAGGAAACUUACAUAAGACACUGAAUGAAUUGAACAUAUAUAUUUUAAUGACAAGCAAACAGCAAUAAAAUUAGGAACACGUUAAAGUUUGUCCUGCAUAUCCCUAAAAGAAUACUGAAAAAUAAUUCAAGAGAAUUGUUUUCUAAAACCUAUUGUGUAUUUGUUUAGAUUUUAUAGAAAAUAAUGAUCACAUGAAGCACACCGCAUCAAUUAGGUUUAUAGAAACAAAACACUGUGUUAAUAGUAAUAUGCAAGUAAAUUAACUGUUAUCUCACACUCUUAAAUGUAUUAGUAGUAAUAUUAAACUUCAGUGUAACUGAAAGUACUGCUAAAUUUAAAGCAAAUAUCUGAUUUUUAAAUUGACAUUAAUUGAAGCCCCAAUCUCUCUCUCCCUACCUCUGUAAUCGAUUAGGUUUGAAUACUUACACAGCAAAUCUCUGAAGUCAUUUCAGACCCAGCGUUUGUGUGCAGAAAACAUUACAUAAGUCAUUUCAAAUACUAAAAAAAAAUAGAGAAAAUUUAAUUGUGGAUUAGAAAAAAUCGUUGAAUAAAUUAUAUUUAUUAUAUUUUCUGAAUGAUUUCCUCUUUAAUAAGCAGACACGCCAGUAGAAAACAGCCAUUGGAAUAUCUAUUAUCUCUUCAUCCUUUUAUCCUCUUGCAAUUCUCUUGGGGAAGCAUACAUGUAUAUGCUGCAUGAAAUGUUAUUAACUGACAUUAAGUCUCUCAUCCCCUUAGGCCGUGGAUUUUUUCCUGCUACUUUACUGACCAUUAAGCAGCUCUUGUGGAUGUGAUCUGGAAAUUAUUGUAUUUAUACCUUAUAGAGCACAUGUAUUAAACUGCUCAUUAGGUUUUGAUAUUACAUGACUUCAUAAGCCUCAUAUGAGCUACAGCAGCAAUUAUGUUUUAGUAUAAUGAUGUGAAAAGGACAAACUAUUGGUUCUUUAAAUGUGUGCCGAAGUCUUUUAAAAUAUUAUCUGUCAUCUCUAAGGUGUCUGUUUUUAACUCUUCUUCAUGUCAUAACUAAGUAUGAUUAAGGACAAAGUAAGACUGCCUGCUUUGAGUGCUGUCAGAAGCCACAGGGAACCUUUUUGCUCCGGCUGACUUGCACUGGUGGAAGGCAAUACUUUGUGGCUUGUGCUUUGAGAGGGAAAAUUAAGAUGGUGCUACAUGUCCAGACAUGCCUCUGAAGAAUGUUGGAAAGUUGACUAUCUAAGUUUGUGCAGCAAAGGAUUUGCUGAUAGAUAGCAUGAGAGGUAGCAUGGUGAGAAGGAAAUUAUACCUAUUGCACAGAUACCUCAGCUGCAUUCUCCACCAAUUAUUUUGAAAAUAUUUUGCUGUUUGUACCCUUCUUCUUUAUAACAGCACCAGCAGAGCACCAACUAGAAUGCAUCUAUCUCCUUCUUACUUUCCAGUUUUUCUCAGGUGUCUUAGAUCAGAAGAUUUCAACCAAUUUUAAUAUUCAUUCUAUUUAAAACAUUGUCUUUUUUUCCCCCAAAUCUUAAAGGCUCAAAACAGUUCCCCAUGGGAAAACUAAAGACUGUACCAACACAAGAAUCUCAUUAUCUUUUGCACCUGCACUUUCUGUCUAUUUUUAUAUUUUAUGAUGCUGCAGUUCUUUCUACAGUCAUACUGACUGCAUUAAAUUAUGUAAAGGCAGAGUCUUGUGACACCUCUGAACCAACAGGCAGGAGAAUACAAAAUCUUUCUUUUGCUCUCACCCUGACUCAAAAUUAAAUUCCAAAAAUUAUAUGCAAAUAAUAUCACCACUCUCAGUUUAAUGAAUGGAAUCAAAGAACGGCAAGGGCAAAGACGUAAGUUUUAUCCUCUGCUAGUACUGAAGAAUUAGCACUAGAAUUAGUAUGAAUUUGCAUUACUAAAUGAUCAUUGAAUGACAUGAUAACUGGGUGCAAUUCAAGUUUGUUAAUAUUUCUAAACGAUAGCAUCGUUUUUUUUGCUUAAGGCUCAGGGCUGAACAAGGAGCACUGACUUCCCUGCCACAGACUUGCAAGGUGACCUUGACAAAUCACAGAACAUAUCUGUACCUCAGUGUGAGACAGGAGAAAUUAAAACAUUUCCUAGCUCACAGAGGCAUUGGUAAAGCUCAGUUAAUCAAAGUCUUUCAAGAUCUUUAGACAGAAUAAUCUAGAUAAGAGCAAAGUAUUAUUAUUCUUACUAAAGAGGACCUCUCCUGAGCACUUAAUUUUUCAUUUUAUACAAACUUUUUUGCUUAUUUACACUGUCAGCAUACAGAGUGAUAGAUCCUUCUGACCUGAUUUGUGUGAAGCUUGUCAAGAUACAGAUGUUUUUAGCACUAUAUCCCUGUUAGGAUAUGACACAAUACAUCAUAACAGCUCCAUCAGAGCCAUUAGGGUGUAAGUUGUCAAUGCAUAAUAAGAUUACUAUGCGUUAUAGCAGGUGGUGCUCAAAUAACACUGAAGCAUGAACACUGUGGUAGCAUCUAGAAUCCCUUUGAAUACUGGUGUUGCAAUACCUUUCUAAUGUAUCUAGCAUUAUCUUUUUGUAGUAAAAUAUUUCUUGUUGUGCAUGAAGAACUAUUUUUUUGGUAAAAUAAGUAACUGUUACAUUUUUGUUGUUUCAGAAAACGUAGAGGUCUACAAAUGUUUCUGUUUGCAAAAGAAGUUGUUUUUGUUUAAAUGAAGGGCAAAGCCUGCCAACAACUCUGUAAAUAUUAGCCAAAUAUGUUCAAAGUUUUACUGUUAGAAAACCAGCCUGUAAGAAGUUUGGAUUCAAAAUGGCUAUUGAAACAGUACUGUCAAAAGGUUCUAUUUAUAGAUUUUAUAUACAUACAUAUAUAAAUAAAUGGAAAAUGUUGUUUUAUGCACAAUAUUAAUGAGUAUAAUUGAGCCUGGAAAAAUGAGACAUUCAAAUAAUUUUAAGUUGGUGUCUGAAAAACUCUGCUGGUUUUCUAUCUAGGAAAGACAUCAAGGAAAAGAAUCAGCAGAACUUGCAGAGAAAGACUCAAUACUGCUAGGUUUGUACCUCCCUGUCAGUAUAACCUAUGAGCAUUACCCAUUCACUGGUGAAUUUAUGCUUCUCAUGCAUUUGUGAAGGAUCUCUUCUUAAGGAGAACUGAAAAACUGGCUUAUUGAGGAUCACGAUAAAGUCUGUAGCAGAACAUAGAGGAAAAGUGAACUUUGCUGAUAUUUUCAUAUCAUCACUAUUAAUCUGUAAUUCAAUGUGUGAAGCUUUUUCACAUUAUUGCAUUAUUCCUGAAAUGCACUCCAAGCAGGCAAACUGGCAAGCUACAGUGACAUACAUACACAUAUGUAGAUUUUGCAUGAGGUCUUAUAUGUGCAUUCACAUCUGCCUGUAUGGAAGCAGGUUGAGGUAGGUCUUUUAUAAAGUGAGAGAUGAAGGAAAAGUGCAGAAUUCAAAUGCUUACAAUGUUUUCAAGCCUUUGCAGAGAAGAAUGAGGUGAAUGGCUUUAAAGAAAAUUUUUCAUAUUUAGGCAUUACUGCAUCUUCAGUAGGUAUGAGUCCUCCUAAACAUGGAAGUUAUAGCCUCUCCCAGUAAGAUGUAUAGUGACUGUGUGAGAUGUAUGAUUUUCUUUCUGUGCAGUAGAGGCAACAGGCAGGGACUGACCUAUGAUCAGAAAAGUCCGAUAAAUUUUCCAGGAAUAUAUAUUCCAAAUGAUAAAAAAUUGAGUAAGAAAAGGAAACAGUCCAGUCAUUUUUCAUAAAUGUGUUGUUCAAAGACUUCCUCAUAAAAAAUCAAAUAUCUUUCUGGUACAGCAAAGAAAGGUAAAUAAGAUAUGCAUUCUGACACUUACACAGAAUAACAAGCAGGAAACAUGCUGUGGUCCUUGAAGAAGACAUAGAGUACAAAUAAAUAAAAGAAAAUACAGAAAAGGAAAGAAAAAAUUAAAGAAAAAAGAAGAAUGGGGAGGAACGUCAAUGAUAUGACCCGUGGCAUGAAUACAGUCUCUUUCUGUUAUUACAGCAAACAGAAAGAAGUUAGAAAUAGAAAUGCUUUCAAAUAAAGGCUAACAUGGGGGAAACAAUAAACUGAAGGGAAGACUUGCUCAUCUAAAAGACUAUCUAACAAAAUAACUUGGAAAUAACCUUCAUUGUUUUUUACUCAGGUUAGAGUAGAGUAGUUCACAUGGAGGAGAGAAGUCAAAGAUGAAUUGAAUUUGCUCAGGAACAAAAUUUCCACUCAUAAAAAUGGGAGCUUGUACUGGAAAGAAAAAAAAUAUAUGAAAUGCUGGGAAUGAUCUAGACCAAGUAGCAAAGAGUGAGAGUUCUGAAAACAAACCUAUCUUUGUUUCCUCCAUGUAAAGUUUGUUAAAAAAAAGAAAUGUUUAAGAUCUAGAAGUCUUCUGCAAAUGAUAUUAAAGGAGGCUAUUCUUAUAGAUCUAUAAAGCCAAAGGCUAAGUAAUGGUGGAAGAAAAGGAGAAAAGUUUAUUCUAACACCCUCCCAUGCUGAGCAAGAACACUGAAGACCAUAUCUUUUCAAAAGCAACAUUUGCUGAGACAGCAGGAUUUUUUUUUCCAGAAAUUAAAUUCUUCUUUGCCCCCAGUACAAAGCUGAAUAUUUUUUCUUGGAAGGCUAUUUCUGAGCCACAACCCCUAGACUGUUAGAAACCUUUUAAUUUCCAGCCUAAACUUACUCAUGAACAGUCUAUAUCUAUUUGUUUUUGUGCCAGCACUGUCCUUUUGUGUUAAUUGUACAUCUAUAUCAUGUAGCUAUUUGUAGGUUAUUUCGUAUUUCAAAAGAUAAUAUCAGUAUUUUUAAAAGAAAUCACCAGCUGAGAUUCUGAGGAUAAAAUUAGUUGUUGCAACAGCUGUUUGAUCAUAAAGUUAUUGUCUAAAAAGCUUAUGAACACAAUAAGAUGUGAUUUCACUUCACUUUAGGGGGAAAUAACAUGCUGUAUCUUUUUAUUACUUCUAUUUAUGACAUUCAGUAAUGAAAUAGAGUUAAAAUAAUUUUCAGGAAAACAGAACUUGAUUUAAGAAUAAAACAGACUAGAUGAAGUCUUUAUUCAUUCAUUAAAGGCAAGAGGCUAUUUUUCAACCUUUAUUCAAGAAACUUGAUGAAGUUUUCUUUUGGGUCUGGUUAAUUGUUUGGCUACAAUAUUUAUCAGUAUGACAACUGAUUGACAACUGCAUAACAACCAGCUACUUCAGAAGCAGAUUUGCACAAGUGGAUUUUUGAAGGAAGGAAAUUGAAAGUGUCAAGCUGAGAGAAUGAAGAGUGUCCAGGUCUAUGCAAACAUACUGUUGAGAUUAUACUGCUAGGUUGUAAGCCCUUCUGAGCAAUGAUAGUCCCUUUCCAGAUGCCUGUGAGCAUUACCUAUCUUUAAUGCAUUAGUAUAUAGAAAACAUACAUGUUUUCUCUCUUUCCUCUUCAAAGGAAAAAUGCAGAGUAAAUUUCAGUCUGUCAGAAUCUUUAGGAAACAUUACAGGGAUUUCCCUGCAGCACUUUCAUUUCUAUGCAGAACAAACUGAAGAGGUGCAAAGCAGUAUAUCAGAAAUUCUGUUUCUUGGUUGUAUGAAACUUCAGAUUUACCUUCCUAUUCUCAUUAUUAAUUACCUGCAAACCCUCCAAGAACACUUUCUGUGCCACAGCUGGACACUUUUUUCUCUACCCUCAUCUGCCAAAAGGUUGGUACUCUGUCAGAGAUGAGCUGGUGUCUCAUUUCUCUCUAUCCCUCUGUUUUUUCUCUUGCGCAUUCUGGCAUCGCAGGGCUCUUCUUUAUUAACCUUUUCCAACUGAAUAAGCCAGAACAACACAUGACUUCUGACCUGAAGCAAUACAGCCAAGUGAGUAGGCUGGCUAUCUAUUUGCACUGCCUUUCUACACGAGGUCCUUUUCCUCGGUAGACAUAAUGUACCAGAGAUGUAUUAGAGAUAAGGAUAAUGUGUCUGUCUGCCUGUUCUCCCUAUAGCUUUGGGAGACAAGCAGGAUGAAUAUGAGAGUGCAGUGGUAUGGGCCAAAUGCAAUGAGACUCCCACAAAUAUGGUGAGAUAAAAUGCUGUGGCCAAGAAUUGGAAAGGAUGCUGAAGAAUAGUUUCUUUUCCAUUUUUUUUUCCCUUGGAAACAAGCUCAUUUUUAUAGCAACAUGUCUGAUCUCACCAUUCAAAACGGAGAAUAUCCCAAGUUUGAUGCCUUGAGAUACAAGAGGAGGUUAAGAGAUGCAUAUCACUUCUAGAAAUGAACAACAGCUGCAUCCAGGCUUCUCCCUGAAAAUGGGUGACUUCUCCAGACACGGAGGACAUGAGCCAUAGACCCAAGAGAUUUUCACACAAGUGAUCACACCCUUGACAAGCUGGCUGAAGUUCAAUCCUAAAAGGCCAAACAGUUUGUCUGCAAUAGACAGAGAAGAUAAGACUUCCUGACAGAAGUUUUACCUAUGAAAGUAGGCAUAUGCCUACUGGAUAUUGUUACUGUUACCAGUGCUGUGAACACUUGGGGUAGAAGGAGUUUAAAUUUUCUGCAUUCUAUGAUGCAGCUUGAAGCAGCAGUGAUUUUCUUUUAAUGGGAAGAUCCAAAGUCUCUUCAUUUAAUUGUGUAAUCCUCCACACUGAUCAAGGAAGAAAACUUAGGGUCAUUGCUCAGUGAAUUGCCUUACAAUGCACGACAAUUACAUUGGAAGCAAAACAAAGGUACCAGCUUAUAAAGAGAAAAAGAAAAAAGAAAAAAGAAAAAAAAAAAGGAAAUCUCUAGUUCAGUUGGACAGAUUUGCAAGGAUCUUCGAAAAUGUGAAGGAAAUGGCUUUCUUCAAUCAGUUGUGUCUGUGUGGAGAGUGAAGGUGAAUAGUCUCAGCUCGGGAGGAAUGUAAUUUGGAAAGGUACGAGCAGCUGAGAAGGGAUUCUCAUGGGCACAGCGUUUGAACACUAAAGUGGCGGCUAUCUUUCCCACUGCAAUAAAAGGGAAGCUGGUAACAAUGGUGUGCUAUAAAAAGCAAAGGAACAUUUUUCUUUGUCAAACAACCACACCUCUCUGGCAGUGCUGCUGCUGUUGCUGCAGUACACUGGCUGAAAUCCACUCUGCCUUUGAACUCUACUGUUACAGAAUUUCAAUUAAAACUGAAAACCACACAAAGGUUGUGGGCAUAAAGAAUACCAAAAAGACACAUCCAUACCAUUGAUUGUUUUUGUUUUUCUUGGUCUGAUUAGGAAAUAAUGAUUUAAGCUGAUGGUGAGAUCCCAGGUAUUGCUGUAUAGGAAAAUUUUACCUAAUUAAAGAUGGGGAAGAACUAUAGAAAAUUCUCCAAGAUCAGAGCUGCCAUUCAAAAGAAAAAGUCAUACUGGGGUUCAAAAUCCCUCCAGAAACUGUUUCACUCCAUUAAAAAAAAAAAAAAAAAAAAAAAAAAAAAAAAAAAGUAUUUGAAGCCUGGAGGAAGAAUACUAUUUAAGAGAGUUUUUACCUUAAGUGAUGUACCCAACAAGGCCUUAUGUAUGCUGCAACAAGCUACAGUACCUGCAGGGUGCUUAUCUACCAUGGAAGUCUUCUAUUAUCUCAUUCUUUACAUGAAUGAAAGUUGAAUAAAGUUUCUUCUUUCUCAGAAACCAUUACACUGAUUUGACUGGGUCUGGAAGUAGCAGAAUGUUUUCCACCCAAUUAUUUUCAACUGAUUGAGAAUGUAUUACUUUACUCAUAGGCACUUUGGAGUUUCAAUGACUAUGUGAAGGACAGUACUUCCAGUAACAUUUAGAAACAUUCUGAGUGGAGAGAAGAUGAAAAGAAAAACCAAAACCAAAAACAAAACCACAACCAAGCAAAACACUUAGUUGUUUAAAAAUGCAUCCAUUUUCUCAUGUUUUGUUUUUUUUUUUUUUUCUUCUGGAAAUCAAUGCUGCAAGUUAUUGUUGUUAAUUGUAAUGAGAUCAUAAGUUUAGAAAACAUUCCCUCAUAAAAAAACAAAUGUCUUUUAAUAAAGUAUGAGAAUUGUGGAAUGACUAUUGGUAAUAAAAAUGAAAUCUGACAAAGAAUACAGAAUAGCCACAGUGGGGAUAACAGAUAUAUUUCUUUGGAACUGUUAGCUGCAUUAACAUCAUAUAAAACUGUGUUCUAAGAUAUCUGAGUUCUAUGUGAAGGAUCAUAUGUAAAUUUUAACUAAACUGGAGCCAUUAUAUUAUCAUAGGUACAAUGUGCUAGAUAGAAGGCUGUUUCACAUCCACUGAAUAGAUGUGUAUGUUCAUGCAUGUAUGCAUAGCUGUAUGUCUAUAAAUAUAUUCAUAUGUUUAGAGAAAACUUGAACUGGUGGAAAACUGAAAGGACAGGAAGAAAGCAUAGUUUGACUAAAAAGAUAGUUGUUCCAUCUUUCUGUUUCUUUAUUCACCAUAUUUACAUUUUAAUCAGAAGUUGGACUCAAUCCUUAGGCAUCCCUUCCAACACGGGAUAUUCUAUGAUUCUAUGAUUCUAUAUUUAUUUCCCUGCUCACUUCUUUUGUAUAAAACCUACUUUCUAAUUCAGUUGGGUAACUCAUCUUUAAUAUUAUUUUAACAGAUCUUGUCUUACUUUCAUGGAGUAGUCACAGCAAAGGUUGCAUUGUAAAAGAAAAUUGCCUCACUACUGCACUGGGUUUUCUAAUUACUAUAUCUGGUACCACCAUUGGAUAUUUGGAGAAGAAGAAAAGAGAGAGGAAAGAGAGACCACUGUUAAUCACCCCUUACUAGUAGUUGAGGCCCUCAACUUGUUAUUUAAUUUUCAGUUUUACAUACCUCGAUUUCAGAAAACAAAUGAUAGAAAAAGAACCUCAGCUGCAUACCCCGGCUUGCAGGCAAACCUCUUCUAUAAAUAUGUGACCAUUUUAUGAAACUGUAUGGAAGAGAAAAUACGACUAUGAACUUAUGAACAUGUCGAGUGUUUCCCAAAAGAGUUUUAUGGUUUUAUGAUCUAUGAGUUGAAUCAACUCAAAGGAAACUUGAUUUUAUUAAGAACAGCAUCUCAGAACUCAUCUGUGGGUUUGGAUUUCCAACACACUCCUGUAAAUUUGUUGAAUUAUUUAUUUGCAGUGAUGAGACGAGAACAGGAUUCUUCAAGUGGGCUGUACAGUUUGCAUGUCUUACAAAAAAUCUGAUCCAGAAAGACAGAUCUCCAUCAUUCUUAUAUAAGUCUUUUAUAAAUUUGCCCACUGUUAUUGUAAAAUUAGUCUUUUUACAGGAGUGAAAUUUCAAAUUGCUGAAACACUUUCCUGUAGAAUCAUGAAGUGAGAAGAAAAAAUUGAGAAGUAUUUCUGCCUGUAUGAGGAAACACAUGAGCACUGAUACAGAAGGUAUCAAGCCAGCUUGCUGACCAUUGCUUCUAGGACAGCUGGAAGGUCAUGGGAAAUAUUCCACUUCACCAUUCCAAAAUCCUUGCCAUUCCAGUUUGCCUCUUUUCAUUAUUUUUAUUAUACAGAAGCCCAGCAUGUUGUUAGGUCUUUGACAAGGAUUUGAACAAAAUUUAAUAUAUAACUACAUUAUUGAAGGAGUCAUAGAAUUAUAGAAUCAUAGAAUGGUUUGUCUUGGAAGGGUUUCUUAAGAUCCCUAGUUCCAACCUCUCUGCUAUAAGCAGGGACAUCUCCUACUAGACCAGGUUCCUACAUGCCCUCAUAAAAAGUGGCCUGAUAGCUGCCUUUCAGUAUCUAAGGGAGACCUACAGGAGAGAAGGGGACAGACUCUUUGGCAGGGUCUGUGAUGAUAGAAAAAGGGGAAAUGAUUUCAAACUAAAAGAGAGGAUAUAAGGAAAAAGUCUUUUACAGUGAGGAUGGUGAGGCAUUGUAACAUAUUUCCCUGAGAAAUGGUGGAUUCCCUCUCCCUGGAGACACUGAAGAUCAGGUUGGAGGAGUUCUAAGCAACAUGAUCUACCUUUGGAUAUCCUUUUUCAUUGCAAGGAUGACCGUUAAGGGUUCCUUCCUACUCAAAUGAUAUAUGAACUUGAGCACACCCUUUCUUUCUUCCACGAUUACCCACGGAAUAUGAAAGUAAUAGAAUGUCUACUGCAUACUUGCUUUCCUUACCCCUGCCUCUCCCCAGGUUUUGCAGAUUGUAUCUGCAGUUGCAUUUUUCAUCACUUCCUCUUGAGAUUGUGGGAAAGUGAGGACAAAGUAUGACAUUAAAAACAAUUUGACUCUAAAAGGAAAAAAUAAACCAGACUAUUGCUAGGAAAACAUUAUUGAAAAUCCUAUGAAAAUAUAAAUACAAUUUAUUUUGGUAUCCUUAAUCCUCUUAAAAUGGAAGAAUUAAGCCCAAGAAGCUGUUUAACUGCAUGUAGAAAUCAUGGUGAAUUUAUCUUCAUUGGGUGACCUCAUCAAAUUAUUCUCCACUGCUGUGAUUUUUUUUGAAGACAGCUCAAUAACAUUUGACUCCCAGUUCCCAUUAGAAUUUAAUGAGAACUGGGCCUCUAAGUCCCCCAGAUUCCUUUGAAAAUAACCCAGCCUAUGAUAAAAUAAUACAGUUCUGUGCAUCCUUAAUUUCUGACAGCAUGUUCAUGUCUGGAAUAUUGAUUGCAACUGCUACUGCCAAGCACACAGAUCCCAUCACUCUUGCCUGCUUUUCCAUUAUGUCAUAAAUAGAUAGCACAGCUCAAUAGAUCAUACAGAUAGAUGGAGCUGGACUACUUACAUGGACUUGCAGGAAAAAACAACUAAUAAUAACCAAGUAUCUAACUUGAUUGGACAAAUUACUUGAAUGAUUUUUAAAAGCUCUGAAAUGAGUAACUUCGAAGAGUGAAUAACGGCGAAAACAAGGCCAGGUCCAACAGUAGUAAUUAGAUUCAAGUAAAAAAUAAAACUCAAUUGGAAAGUUUUAAAGUCUUUGUAUUAUGCAAGUAACCUGGAAAGUUUGUGGUACCAGAAAUGGGAGUUCAAUUAAAUAUUUGGAAAGCCAAAAACAAACAAACAAACAAACAAAAAAAAACCAAAAACCAAAAAACAAACAAACAAAACAAAACCCAAAACCCAAAACAAACAAAACAACAACAAAAAACCAGACAUGCAAGCAGAAUCAUUUAGUAUCCUGCUAAGCUGAAAACACAUUCAAACUAAAACGAGAACUCAGGUGGUUGAAUAAGCAAUAGGAAAAAAGGAACAGAGUUGUCAAAAUAAAAUAUAUUUCAGACUGACUUGAGUAAAAUUUUAAUCCUUGAUUUCAUUUUUCGUGUUUGUACAUUUGUUCCCAGCAGUAAAAUCACAACAUCAUUUCACAGAAAGGUAAGGAAAGGAAAGGAAAGGCAAAGAAAAAGUGCUGGUGAUUCAGCCUCCAGGCUCUCCAUAAAACCUACUAGGAAGCAGAAUGCAAAGUUGUUUUUGUAUGUCCUACUGUGACUUAUCAUGUUAUUAGAAGUCUAUUUCCUCAUCUUUCUGGGGAAAAAAAAGAAAAAAGUGACAACUCAGGAAGAUCACUGUUGGGCUUCAUUCUUCCAUGGAAUUAAAAAAAACGAAACAAAACAAAAAAAAUCCAAAGCAAACAACAAAAAAAGCAACCUGUACUCAGCAGCUAUGGUUUGCAACACUGCACCAAGAUUAGGUUAGAUAUUCAUUUUAAGAGCAGGCCAUUACUUUUGCAGUACUUCUGCAGGAGUAAGACUAAGGAAAUAGCCUAACAGAUCUCAUUCAUAUGCAGCAACUCACCAGUCUCAAUAGAUAGGAUUAACUUGGAUUCUUCACAGGGAAUCCAAUUUCAUAAUUAUUUUGUUUAGUUUUAUCAUUUUAUUUUAUUUUUACUUUAUUUAAUGAAUUUAAAUGAAAAUAUCUAGAAAUCUAUCAGGAACUGGGACUCCAUUUUGUCCCCUGUAUGUGGGGCCUACUAUAAAACUGCAAAACCAAAAUUGUGGUUCAUAUUCUUUUAACAUCUCCAAUCUAAAGAGGAAAGAUAAAACUGAGAUACAGAGGAUUUGGUGUCCAAGGAGCCAGUGGAAUGCCUAAGGGCAGUUUAAAGCAAACUUGAAUGUUUACACAGUCUCAAACCACCCUUCUUUUCUGAACACACCAGGGGAGACAAAAUUUGUCAUCCUAGCAGGCAGGAGUGUAAGUACAUCUCCUGCAUACCUGCUGCCAAAGGGUAUUUGUAUGUUUGAAAGUUACUGCGGCAAAAGAAUGUCAAGCAAUGACUUAAAGACUGAUGAAGUGCUUUCUGGACAUCACUGAUGAAGUUCUCCUUAAAGCAGGUGGCCUAGCAUCAAACAAAAUAUAAAUAUACCUGCUGGAAAAAUAGAAUGAUUAGUUAACAUCGUAGGGCAAACAAAUGUUAAACUGACCUCAAGUCCAAAGGAGAGAUGAAAGACAGAUGGGGGCUGGUGAAUGCACUUGAUAAUGUUGUUGGGAGCCUUAAAUCUGGUGGACAGAGAAACAGGAACCUUUGGAUGGAUGGAUGUAUAGGGUGACAAGGAUGAAACUAUGGAAAUCUGAAAUACUACCUCCUGGUACAUUUGCAUUUCAGGAAUCUGAGCACUUAAAUAGAGAGAGGCAGUGGCGAUGAAAUGGAAGAUAAGUUUUACUCAUGAAUUAGUUGUAAUCAUCUGUAAUAUUGUGUUAGCUGGAGAGCAAACGUUUAGGAGCAUGAUCAGGAAGAUUAGUUGAUUUUCCACUUGUAUCAUAUAACGUAUGAAUACAACAAAUUCUGCAACAUAUUAAAUAUAUAUGGAAUUAUUUUAUUUUAACUUAUAGCAAAGGUGAUUUACUUCUUUACACAAGAAAGAUUCCUAUGACCAUUUGUAGUCAUAGAACUUAGCAGUCUAAGUUCCAAAGUUGAAACUUUAAUUGGAACUAUAGGAAAUCUCCUCUGAUAGCUCUGAUAAUAGAUAGCUCCUCUGAUACAUCUAACCAGUAAUAAUUUCACAUCUAUAGAUUUUUGAUGUGGCCUUUUAAUGUACUUUUGGAUCCUCCUGCAUGAUGAUGAUUCUGGUCUUGCAAGCUGCUGUGUGUAGGCAGCCCCUGACACCAGAGACCACUGCUGUGGGAGUUAGAAAGUCUGUGCUCAGAUGGAAAGGUCAAACUGCACAGAAUAGCUUGCAGGUUCAGAAGCCUGCCUGAAAUACUCUCAGCUUAGAACAAACCUGAAUUACUUUGUGAGUAUGAAACAUUUAACACGAGAGCCUGCAAAAAGUGGUAAAGGUUUUGUAUAUAGCUGUCUAAGAUGAGCUAACCUAAGACUUAAUUAGCUAUUAUAUACAAAGAAACCCUUUUUAAUAAAUAAUUAAAUAAUUAAAAUCCUGGCCUGUGACAGUAGCAAAAUCAGUUUUGCAGUUGGAAGUCUACUUCUGUGCUUUCUUUAUUAUUAAAUACAUCAUUUUAAGAAGGCAAUUUUGAACUGAAUAGAUGUGAAUCUAAGAACACCAAAACCCACUUUGUGUCUUGAUAGAAACAUUUUUUGUGUGUGUUUUGAUCCUGGAAAUUUCACAUCUCUCUUUUAACUUUCUUAAGAAAUAACAUUACUUCUGUUUCUCCAGUCGUUUACUUGCUUAAACUCCAGAGCAUACUGGUGUGCUGCAUAAUUGGAACAAAGCUUAAUAUUGUAAAUAAAAACCUUUACCUCCAAAUCUGCAGAGGAACUGUAUUUAAAGAAAUGAAACAAAAUAGAAUUUAAAUGCUUAAAUACAAGAUAAUGUUUAGAAACUUUAGCUGCCCACAAUCAAACAUUCCCAGCUGAAGUUUGAUUACUUUGGCUUGCAUUUAUCUGAUACUAAAAAAAAUAAGGAUUGGUUGUCAUCGAGGUAUUGGAAAGUGACAAAUAUAAUAUAAUUUCUAAAAAGAAUGACCAUCAACCCAGUACUGCAUACAGUAUGGAUGAAAGAAAGCCCUUUUUACCUAGCUUCAAAUUCCCCACAGCCUUCUGGAUUUUACAUAUUUACCACAGGUACUCAUAGAACUGAGUUGUUUGAAAUGUGAAAAUGUCUGAAUGUGUUUUCAGGAGCAGCCUGAAUAAUGUGGACAACACAUCAACAGAGAGCAAAACUAAUACAGAUACACUGAAUAAAAAGGACAGAGAGGGAGAAAAAGAUGUAGAUGAAAAUGCAUAACAACAGGGCAUAAAAACAGUGUCAAUAUCCUUAUCUAUUUAAUUAAUGUUGGAAAUAAGUUUAGUUAAAAUUAUGCAAUAAUAAUUAAUUAACAAUCUAACUCUAGAUUCUCAUGUCAUUAUUCAUCUUUAAAAAUAUUUGAUACAGUGGUUAUUGAUGAGUUUUGUAUUUUUCUAGUAGCUUUGCUAACCCCUGAUUAUUACUGCUCAUAUAUUGACCUUUUUGCCAUAUGUUUUGAUCAACUUUGAAUUAUUAGUAUUUAAAUUUUCUAACAGAUUAUUGAAGUCUCAAAAUACAAUGGUUUUUGUAGCAAAAUCAUUAAUGUGAUAAGAUGCAGAUCAAAAGGAGUGUUCACCACCGUGAAUACAAAUAGUACAAUAUGAAUUAAUAUGAAAAAAUGAAACACUGUGAACAACAGACUUCCAUUAAUGUGUUAGUGAGCAUAUUAAUGACAAAAUUGCUGAAAGAUACAAUGAAAAGUCUCAACUAAGAAAAAAAAUAUGGAACAUUUCUCAGAAUAUAAAUGAAUUCCUAAAUGAAACAAUUUAAAGGUUAAUUUGGUAUUAUUUCCUGGAUAUGUGUGUCAAAUUUAUUCAUUGAUCAAAAGCACUCUUUUACACAAACAAACAGAUAAAUGCCCUUGAUAAUAAACAGCAAUUGAAAUGCUACAUCAGGUGAUAGUGCAGACUACUUUCCUUUGGUCUAGUGAGUCAUUCAGGGAGUAAGACUAUCUUAUCCACACAGACCCAGUGUACUGAAAUUUAUGACAGUCAUUCACAGUUUGGGGGCUGCUAGAUUGCAUACGUUCUUUCAAAGAGAUCUUAUUAGGUAUUCUGCUGCUGAGGCAUCUGCUGGUCAGGGUAAUCUUGAUGCAGGUCAUGUAGAAGACUUGUGGACAUGAAGAACAGCAUUUUUCCAUUACUAGCUUGAUUCCAAAACCAAUGAACUAUUAGCUAUGGUGGUGCAGGAGACUUUUCACCAGUGUUUUAUUAAGAAGUCCAGGGUCUCUAAAUUUGGCAGUGCCCAUGGGCCAUAGUUAUAUUCUACUAAUGAGAAAAUUAUGAUACUGACAUCAGCUUCCCAAUCCUUUUCCCUAAAGAAAACACAUAGCAUAUUAAUCUGUAUAAUUAAUGUCAUGUUUCUUCAUAUCCUCUCUCUCCAAUUAUCCUCAAAAUAAUUCUGUUUGACUCCAAAUACCUGAAAUCUUUAAAAACUUUAUACCAAUAUCUCUAUGGUAGAUCUCUUUGAGUGUAGUUGUAACUCAUAACAAAAACAUUGUAUUUCUGUUAACGUAUGGAUAAUUACAUCAGAAGUCACAUACAGACCAUCAUGAGAAUAAUGCUCGUUCUUAUUGCUGUAUUUUGAAAUUUAAAGAUCCUUAGCACUGAAUAAGUGACAGAAGUAUGCACAAUAAAUUUAUACUAUUGCUUUUAAACUCAUAUCUGCCUUUUUGAUAGUAGAGAACAGCAGAGAAAAUAAUUAAAUACCUACAAAAAUAUUUUGUUUGUAUGUGGUGUUUUGGAGAGAAAGGUAGGUAAGAUUUAUUUAUAUUAAUAAUGUGUCACCAUUUUAUGUACCAGAAACUGCAUAGUUAAUAACUGCACUUGAGUUACAGUGAAGAUUUUCAAUACUUUCAAAUGAAAUUUUAUAUAAAUUCUGAUUUGUUUUAAUAAAAUUUAAAUGUUUGGUAACAGCUUAUUCUUUUUGUUGGAGAGUUUUAUGUUCCAUAGUUACAUUGACUUAAAUUGGCUGAGAUGUGUGAGUUUUAAUGAUUCACCUAGAAAGUUAUAUAGACCAGUGUUCAGAACAAGAGCAACGGGAAGUAAGUCAGCAAGAGAAACAAGCCACGUAAGUGACUGCCUGCAAACCAGUAGCUUCGCCCAAGAUCUAUCAACUGCUACUAGGUGCUUAUGAAGUGUACCAGGCUUGGAGCUGAUAAGGACUGGAAAAUGACCUGAAAAUUUUUUAAAUGCAAAGCA